rnacentral:rRNA from 1 species
AGUGAACGCUGGCGGUAGGCCUAACACAUGCAAGUCGAACGGCAGCACAGUAAGAGCUUGCUCUUACGGGUGGCGAGUGGCGGACGGGUGAGGAAUACAUCGGAAUCUACUUUUUCGUGGGGGAUAACGUAGGGAAACUUACGCUAAUACCGCAUACGACCUACGGGUGAAAGCAGGGGAUCUUCGGACCUUGCGCGAUUGAAUGAGCCGAUGUCGGAUUAGCUAGUUGGCGGGGUAAAGGCCCACCAAGGCGACGAUCCGUAGCUGGUAUGAGAGGAUGAUCAGCCAUACUGGAACUGAGACACGGUCCAGACUCCUACGGGAGGCAGCAGUGGGGAAUAUUGGACAAUGGGCGCAAGCCUGAUCCAGCCAUACCGCGUGGGUGAAGAAGGCCUUCGGGUUGUAAAGCCCUUUUGUUGGGAAAGAAAAGCAGCAGGUUAAUACCCCGCUGUUCUGACGGUACCCAAAGAAUAAGCACCGGCUAACUUCGUG